rnacentral:misc_RNA from 1 species
GAACCCCCUCCUGCAGGUCUCUUGAAAUUAAAUUGUGAUACAUCUCGGAAGCGUAAUGUUGAUUUAAUAGCUAUCGCUGUUGUUGCUGGAAAUUCUAAUGAUAAUUUGGUGGAUGGAAUUGCUAAAAGAGUGUACUGCUCUUCCCCUUUAGUAGGCAAAGCCCAAGCAAUGUUGGAAGCCCUUCGGUUAACUGCUGCAAUUGGGAUAUCAUCCUUCAUUAUUGAAACAGAUUCAACCUCUAUUUACUCUGCAAUGUUGGACUCUUACAAGGAUGUUUAUUGGGAAAUUCAGGCAGCAGUUAAUCUCAUGUGUUCUCUUGUUCCUAAUUUUGGCCAGGUUUAUUUUUCUUUAGUGAAUAAGGAAGCAAAUUCUAUUGCUGAUAUAGUUGCUAAGUUGUGUUUUAAGAACCUCCUUCCAUGUAAUUGGCUAUUGCUACAUCGG